rnacentral:rRNA from 1 species
UACGUAGGGUGCGAGCGUUAAUCGGAAUUACUGGGCGUAAAGCGUGCGCAGGCGGUUCGUUAAGUUCGUCGUGAAAGCCCCGGGCUCAACCUGGGAAUGGCGAUGGAAACUGGCGGGCUGGAGUAUGGCAGAGGGGGGUGGAAUUCCGCGUGUAGCAGUGAAAUGCGUAGAGAUGCGGAGGAACACCGAUGGCGAAGGCAGCCCCCUGGGCCAAUACUGACGCUCAGGCACGAAAGCGUGGGGAGCAAACAGG